GACGAACGCUGGCGGCGUGCUUAACACAUGCAAGUCGAGCGGAAAGGCCCUGCUUUUGUGGGGUGCUCGAGUGGCGAACGGGUGAGUAACACGUGAGUAACCUGCCCUUGACUUUGGGAUAACUUCAGGAAACUGGGGCUAAUACCGGAUAGGAGCUCCUGCUGCAUGGUGGGGGUUGGAAAGUUUCGGCGGUUGGGGAUGGACUCGCGGCUUAUCAGCUUGUUGGUGGGGUAGUGGCUUACCAAGGCUUUGACGGGUAGCCGGCCUGAGAGGGUGACCGGCCACAUUGGGACUGAGAUACGGCCCAGACUCCUACGGGAGGCAGCGGUGGGGAAUAUUGCACAAUAGGCGGAAGCCUGAUGCAGCAACGCCGCGUGCGGGAUGACGGCCUUCGGGUUGUAAACCGCUUUCGCCUGUGACGAAGCGUGAGUGACGGUAAUGGGUAAAGAAGCACCGGCUAACUACGUG
rnacentral:rRNA from 1 species